UUCAAGCAUGCAAAACAAAGUAAAGGACCUCAGCUGUCAAUCAAGAAAGAACAUUCCAAAUAGAAUGUUCCCAGGAAAGACAGUUGGAGAGUCAAGCCAGGCUGAAGGGGGAAGAAGAUGUGAACUGGACCCCUAUUAGCUUCUGUCCUAGGCUGAAGGACCCUGGGGGGGGGGGCUUCUGGAGCUAGACUGAGAAGAAAUUAACUUUUGUUGGUGGCUUAGAGUAUGAAGAACUGAUUGUAUAUUUGAGAUUUGAAUUUGAAGGAAGAAAGAAGAUUAAACAUUUGUCCUCCCAUCUCCUUGACAGAUUUUUGUGUCACAGCUAUGACAAGACUGACAUUUCCUAAAAUCCUCCUAACCCUCCUAAUAGAUUAGGGAAAACUUUAUCCCUCUCACCUCAAUUUCAAUCCUUGUCCUGUUUUUUCCAAUAAACCUUACCUAAGAAAGAGGGGGAAAAGUAUCUUCUCUAAACGUCACAGUUCACAUUUGAGUUACAUAGAAAGGAUAAAUUAAAAGUCAUGGAGAAGAGGAAAAGAAGAGAUGUUAAGUAAAAUUACAUGAAUGGGGAAGACAUCCUUGUCUCUUUGAUCAUUAAGUCAGUAAUCCAUCAUUUGAGGAAAAUGCCACAACUGCUAAAAGAAAAUGUGAUAUUGAACUGCUACAGUAGAGUUCUGUAUAUGGGAAAGGUCGAGGGUAUAACCUUGGUUUAGAUGAAGGUAGGAUCAUUUUGUCUCAGUUUCCCCACAGUGUUACUUUCUUUUGAACAGGUAUGUUUCCCAUUUGAUUCAUCCAGAACCCCGCUAUGAUACCCAGUAAAUGAGGGGGAACUUUGUUGUAUGACUGUUCCAAAAUCUUGAAUAUGACUUUUACCUAAGAUCAAAUAGUUAUACCUCUUUGAUAAAGUAUCCUGGUAUACCUAUGUUGAGCCAUUCUAUACCCUUAGAAUUAGGCCUAAAGGUCCAGUUUUGAUGCUAUCAUAAUCACAUCCCUCAUUUACUUU
rnacentral:lncRNA from 1 species